rnacentral:sRNA from 1 species
UGUUCUGGAAACCAUGGGCCGGGUAAGUCUGGAUAUGAUGUCCGUGCAAGCUAACACGGGUCCUCCCUGGGAAAGCAAAAAUUCCACUGCCGUCUGGAGAGGGCGAGACAGCCGCAAAGAGAGACUCGAGCUGGUUAAACUCAGUAGAAAAUACCCGGAACUCAUAGACGCUGCUUUCACCAACUUUUUCUUCUUUAAACACGAUGAAAACCUGUAUGGUCCCAUUGUGAAACACAUUUCAUUUUUUGAUUUCUUCAAGGCCAAAAAGAUAGCAAAAGCAGGACAAGAAUUUGCAAGAAAUAAUCUCAUGGGCGAUGACAUAUUCUGUUAUUAUUUCAAACUUUUCCAGGAAUAUGCCAAUUUACAAGUGAGUGAGCCCCAAAUCCGAGAGGGCAUGAAAAGGGUAGAACCACAGACUGAGGACGACCUCUUCCCUUGUACUUGCCAUAGGAAAAAGACCAAAGAUGAACUCUGAUAUGCAAAAUAACUUCUAUUAGAAUAAUGGUGCUCUGAAGACUCUUCUUAACUAAAAAGAAGAAUUUUUUUAAGUAUUAAUUCCAUGGACAAUAUAAAAUCUGUGUGAUUGCAGUAUGAAGACACGUUUCUACUUAUGCAGUAUUCUCAUGACUGUACUUUAAAGUACAUUUUUAGAAUUUUAUAAUAAAACCACCUUUAUUUU